rnacentral:rRNA from 1 species
UACUGAGGGGGCUCGCGUUGCUCGGAAUUACUGGGCGUAAAGCGCACGCAGGCGGACUGGAAAGUCAGGGGUGAAAUCCCGGGGCUCAACCCCGGAACUGCCUUUGAAACUCCCAGUCUUGAGGUCGAGAGAGGUGAGUGGAAUUCCGAGUGUAGAGGUGAAAUUCGUAGAUAUUCGGAGGAACACCAGUGGCGAAGGCGGCUCACUGGCUCGAUACUGACGCUGAGGUGCGAAAGCGUGGGGAGAAAACAGG